CAGCCGCCGCGGUAAUACGUAGGGGCCAAGCGUUGUCCGGAUUUAUUGGGCGUAAAGGGCUCGUAGGCGGUUUGACAAGUCGGACGUGAAAACCUGGGGCUCAACCCCAGGACGCCGUUCGAAACUGUCAUGACUAGGGUCCGGUAAAGGUGAGUGGAAUUCUCGGUGUAGCGGUGAAAUGCGCAGAUAUCGAGAGGAACACCAGUGGCGAAGGCGAGUCCCUGGACAAUUCCUGACGCUGAGGCACGAAAGCUAGGGGAGCAAACAGGAUUAGAUACCCUGGUAGUCCACGCCGUAAACGUUGAACACUAGGUGUGGCGAGUUAAUCCAUACUUGCCGUGCCGCAGCUAACGCAUUAAGUGUUCCGCCUGGGGAGUACGGCCGCAAGGCUAAAACUCAAAGGAAUUGACGGGGCCCCGCACAAGCGGCGGAGCAUGCGGCUUAAUUCGAUGCAACCCGAAGAACCUUACCUGGACUUGACAUUAUGGGUCUAUCCCUAGAGAUAGGGAGUGCUUAUGCGCCCAUAACAGGUGGUGCAUGGCUGUCGUCAGCUCGUGUCGUGAGAUGUUGGGUUAAGUCCCGCAACGAGCGCAACCCCUGUCCUAUGUUGCCAGCAUUCAGUUGGGGACUCAUAGGAGACUGCCGGGGACAACUCGGAGGAAGGCGGGGACGACGUCAAGUCAUCAUGCCCCUUAUGUCCAGGGCUGCACGCAUGCUACAAUGGGCCAUACAAUGGGCUGCGAUCCCGCGAGGGUGAGCCAAUCUCUUAAAAUGGUCCUUAGUUCGGAUUGGAGUCUGCAACUCGACUCCAUGAAGCCGGAGUCGCUAGUAAUCGUGGAUCAGCAAAGCCACGGUGAAUACGUUCUCGGGGCUUGUACACACCGCCCGUCACAUCACGGAAGUCGGUAACGCCCGAAGUCAGUGGCCUAACCCUAUGGGAAGGAGCUGCCGAAGGUGGGAUCGGUGACUGGGAUGAAGUCGUAACAAGGUAACCGUA
rnacentral:rRNA from 1 species